UUAAGCGACUAAGCGUACACGGUGGAUGCCCUGGCAGUCAGAGGCGAUGAAGGACGUGCUAAUCUGCGAAAAGCGCCGGCGAGGUGAUAUGAACCUUUGACCCGGCGAUGUCCGAAUGGGGAAACCCAGUGUGAUUCGUCACACUAUCGUUAACUGAAUACAUAGGUUAACGAGGCGAACCGGGGGAACUGAAACAUCUAAGUACCCCGAGGAAAAGAAAUCAACCGAGAUUCCCCCAGUAGCGGCGAGCGAACGGGGAGCAGCCCAGAGUCUGAAUCAGCUUGUGUGUUAGUGGAAGCGUCUGGAAAGUCGCACGGUACAGGGUGACAGUCCCGUACACGAAAAUGCACAGGUUGUGAACUCGAAGAGUAGGGCGGGACACGUGGUAUCCUGUCUGAAUAUGGGGGGACCAUCCUCCAAGGCUAAAUACUCCUGACUGACCGAUAGUGAACCAGUACCGUGAGGGAAAGGCGAAAAGAACCCCGGCGAGGGGAGUGAAACAGAACCUGAAACCGUGUACGUACAAGCAGUGGGAGCACCUUCGUGGUGUGACUGCGUACCUUUUGUAUAAUGGGUCAGCGACUUAUAUUCUGUAGCAAGGUUAACCGUAUAGGGGAGCCGAAGGGAAACCGAGUCUUAACUGGGCGUUAAGUUGCAGGGUAUAGACCCGAAACCCGGUGAUCUAGCCAUGGGCAGGUUGAAGGUUGGGUAACACUAACUGGAGGACCGAACCGACUAAUGUUGAAAAAUUAGCGGAUGACUUGUGGCUGGGGGUGAAAGGCCAAUCAAACCGGGAGAUAGCUGGUUCUCCCCGAAAGCUAUUUAGGUAGCGCCUCGUGAACUCAUCUUCGGGGGUAGAGCACUGUUUCGGCUAGGGGGCCAUCCCGGCUUACCAACCCGAUGCAAACUACGAAUACCGAAGAAUGUUAUCACGGGAGACACACGGCGGGUGCUAACGUCCGUCGUGAAGAGGGAAACAACCCAGACCGCCAGCUAAGGUCCCAAAGUCAUGGUUAAGUGGGAAACGAUGUGGGAAGGCACAGACAGCCAGGAUGUUGGCUUAGAAGCAGCCAUCAUUUAAAGAAAGCGUAAUAGCUCACUGGUCGAGUCGGCCUGCGCGGAAGAUGUAACGGGGCUAAACCAUGCACCGAAGCUGCGGCAGCGACGCUUAUGCGUUGUUGGGUAGGGGAGCGUUCUGUAAGCCGUUGAAGGUGUGCUGUGAGGCAUGCUGGAGGUAUCAGAAGUGCGAAUGCUGACAUAAGUAACGAUAAAGCGGGUGAAAAGCCCGCUCGCCGGAAGACCAAGGGUUCCUGUCCAACGUUAAUCGGGGCAGGGUGAGUCGACCCCUAAGGCGAGGCCGAAAGGCGUAGUCGAUGGGAAACAGGUUAAUAUUCCUGUACUUGGUGUUACUGCGAAGGGGGGACGGAGAAGGCUAUGUUAGCCGGGCGACGGUUGUCCCGGUUUAAGCAUGUAGGCGGAACGAUUAGGUAAAUCCGGUCGUUUAUUAACGCUGAGGUGUGAUGACGAGGCACUACGGUGCUGAAGUAACAAAUGCCCUGCUUCCAGGAAAAGCCUCUAAGCAUCAGGUAACAUCAAAUCGUACCCCAAACCGACACAGGUGGUCAGGUAGAGAAUACCAAGGCGCUUGAGAGAACUCGGGUGAAGGAACUAGGCAAAAUGGUGCCGUAACUUCGGGAGAAGGCACGCUGAUAUGUAGGUGAAGCCCCUGCGGGUGGAGCUGAAAUCAGUCGAAGAUACCAGCUGGCUGCAACUGUUUAUUAAAAACACAGCACUGUGCAAACACGAAAGUGGACGUAUACGGUGUGACGCCUGCCCGGUGCCGGAAGGUUAAUUGAUGGGGUUAGCGGCAACGCGAAGCUCUUGAUCGAAGCCCCGGUAAACGGCGGCCGUAACUAUAACGGUCCUAAGGUAGCGAAAUUCCUUGUCGGGUAAGUUCCGACCUGCACGAAUGGCGUAAUGAUGGCCAGGCUGUCUCCACCCGAGACUCAGUGAAAUUGAACUCGCUGUGAAGAUGCAGUGUACCCGCGGCAAGACGGAAAGACCCCGUGAACCUUUACUAUAGCUUGACACUGAACACUGGUCCUUGAUGUGUAGGAUAGGUGGGAGGCUUUGAAGUGUGGACGCCAGUCUGCAUGGAGCCGUCCUUGAAAUACCACCCUUUAAUGGCUGGUGUUCUAACGUAGACCCGUAAUCCGGGUUGCGGACAGUGUCUGGUGGGUAGUUUGACUGGGGCGGUCUCCUCCCAAAGAGUAACGGAGGAGCACGAAGGUUAGCUAAUCCUGGUCGGACAUCAGGAGGUUAGUGCAAUGGCAUAAGCUAGCUUGACUGCGAGAGUGACGGCUCGAGCAGGUGCGAAAGCAGGUCAUAGUGAUCCGGUGGUUCUGAAUGGAAGGGCCAUCGCUCAACGGAUAAAAGGUACUCCGGGGAUAACAGGCUGAUACCGCCCAAGAGUUCAUAUCGACGGCGGUGUUUGGCACCUCGAUGUCGGCUCAUCACAUCCUGGGGCUGAAGUAGGUCCCAAGGGUAUGGCUGUUCGCCAUUUAAAGUGGUACGCGAGCUGGGUUUAGAACGUCGUGAGACAGUUCGGUCCCUAUCUGCCGUGGGCGCUGGAGAAUUGAGGGGGGCUGCUCCUAGUACGAGAGGACCGGAGUGGACGCAUCACUGGUGUUCGGGUUGUCAUGCCAAUGGCACUGCCCGGUAGCUAAAUGCGGAAAAGAUAAGUGCUGAAAGCAUCUAAGCACGAAACUUGCCCCGAGAUGAGUUCUCCCUGAGACUUUAAGUCUCCUGAAGGAACGUUGAAGACGACGACGUUGAUAGGUCGGGUGUGUAAGCGCAGCGAUGCGUUGAGCUAACCGAUACUAAUGAACCGUGAGGCUUAACCUU
rnacentral:rRNA from 1 species